GGAAAUAGGACAAAGCUAAAAGCACGGGCCAGUCCAGUGACAGCUGCUUUCUCGGACAUUUAUUCUACUUGAGACUGGGUCUUAGGUAGCACAGGCAAGCUGAGGAUGACCUUGAACUUCUGACCCUCCUGCUUUCAACCCCAGAGUGCUGGGAUAACAGGUGUUUACCUGUAAGGCCUCACCCAGAUAACGCAGUGCUGGUGACUGAACUCAGGGCCAGGCAAGCCCUCUACAAACUGAGAGGCAUCCUCAGGUACAGUUUAUCAGCCCUCAGGUGAUAUCUCAAGCUUCCUCCCACCACUCAAGCUCAAAAGGAAACCCCAGCUCCGCUCCAUGCUCCAUUUCAGUCUCACGCUGGAGACCCGAGUCAAGAUCUGGAGAGACAUUCGCCCCUUCUCAUCUCUGUCCCCCUCCACUUACCGAGUACUCCCUCAGCUUUGUCCGAGGGCGUCUGUAAGGCUCGGCCUCCCGGGGCUGGUUGGUUAUCAGUCAAGCCUAGGAGUGCGCGAACAGGAGGGGCUUAAUGGCGGUGCCCGAAGAUGGGUCCGCGCCUGCAGGUGAGGGGGAGGUGAGUCCCGCCCCAGAGAAGCCAAGCAGGUGGAGGAGGGGCGUCCCGGGUUUCGGUGCCUUUGUCCCAGGGAGGGGGAGGGGCGUUUAACUUUUCCGGGGCCGCGGGGACUCGAUCGCCUCGCGGGGCUCGAUGCACCACUUUCUACAUAGGGACUUGAGGACCCAAGUGGCUGCCGCUAGGAUCGAAGUUUCAGCUUUCUGCACACGCCCGCACGCACCCUGCCACAUCCCCCUGCUUCCAUAUCGCCACACUUGCCCCAGGCUCACCUGCAAGAGACCGCAAAGAUUCCCAAGUCGAAAGUAGGGACGAGGGCGGAGGCAAGGGGUCUUAAAGUCGCAAUUACGUCACUGAACCACCUCCCUCUGGGAGGGGCAGACCCCCCCUCCCACGACCGCAGCCAGUGUGCGUUUCUUGGCCGGGUGCCUUAGUUACUGGCGACUCCAAAGUCAACACCUGCUACCCGCUGAGUUCAGCGACUCACUCGAGUUGUGACUUGAGAAUUCACCCAACUUUUCAUAGCCCGUCUCUCACUUUGCAAAUGGAGACAAGUCUGCAUGUAAGUCCUAAGGUACAAAUUAAAGGGCACAUGGGGAGGGGGCGGUGUGUGGCUGUCAUACUGCGUACCUGUGAUCAGAAGAGGGCUAGCAAUGGUUCUCGUCUUCUACUCUGCCGGCCCCGGGGAUCGAACUCCAGAUUGACAUGCUUGGCAACAGCCAUCCUUAACCGCUGAGCCAUCUCGUUGUUUUUGUUAUACCCUCGAGGUCCUUAAGAAAGCAGC